rnacentral:tRNA from 1 species
AGUUAUAUAAUUUAAAUUAAAAUAUUAAUUUUGUAAAUUAAUUUUAAACAAAGGUUUUAUAACUU